UUCCACGUAGGACAGAAUCGUCGUAAAGACCUCGUAAGGUAAAUUGACGUAAAUACCACGUAAAGUAAAUGACGAAGGAGGCACUCUUUAAUUCCACGUAGGAUGAUUUCGUCGUGAACACCUCGUAAGGCCACGAAGAGUUUACGACGAAAUUAAAAAAGCGGGGCACGCUAAUUCCACGUAAGCCAAAAUCGUCGUAAAAGAGUCGUAAACUAACGACGAUAUUACGAC
rnacentral:lncRNA from 1 species